rnacentral:rRNA from 1 species
GCAGCAUGUUUGGCUCAGGAUGAACGCUAGCUACAGGCUUAACACAUGCAAGUCGAGGGGCAGCAUGUUGGUUGCUUGCAACCAAUGAUGGCGACCGGCGCACGGGUGAGUAACGCGUAUCCAACCUACCCAAUACUCAGGCAUAACCCGUUGAAAGACGGACUAAUUCCUGAUGGUAUGUAUUUUUCUCAUGAAUUAUACAUUAAAGAAUUUCGGUAUUGGAUGGGGAUGCGUCUGAUUAGUUUGUUGGUGAGGUAACGGCUCACCAAGACUUCGAUCAGUAGGGGUUCUGAGAGGAAGGUCCCCCACAUUGGAACUGAGACACGGUCCAAACUCCUACGGGAGGCAGCAGUGAGGAAUAUUGGUCAAUGGAUGGAAAUCUGAACCAGCCAAGUAGCGUGCAGGAUGACGGCCCUAUGGGUUGUAAACUGCUUUUAUGUGAGAAUAAAGUUAGGUAUGUAUACUUAUUUGCAUGUAUCACAUGAAUAAGGACCGGCUAAUUCCGUGCCAGCAGCCGCGGUAAUACGGAAGGUCCAGGCGUUAUCCGGAUUUAUUGGGUUUAAAGGGUGCGUAGGCCGUUUGAUAAGCGUGCUGUGAAAUAUAGUGGCUCAACCUCUAUCGUGCAGCGCGAACUGUUGAACUUGAGUGCGUAGUAGGUAGGCGGAAUUCGUGGUGUAGCGGUGAAAUGCUUAGAUAUCACGAAGAACUCCGAUUGCGAAGGCAGCUUACCGUAACGUUACUGACGCUUAAGCACGAAGGUGCGGGUAUCGAACAGGAUUAGAUACCCUGGUAGUCCGCACAGUAAACGAUGGAUGCUCGCUGUUGGCCUUUGUGGUCAGUGGCUUAGCGAAAGCGUUAAGCAUCCCACCUGGGGAGUACGCCGGCAACGGUGAAACUCAAAGGAAUUGACGGGGGCCCGCACAAGCGGAGGAACAUGUGGUUUAAUUCGAU